AGCCGAGCCGAGCCACCUAAGCCUUCCUUCCUCCACUUCGGUUCACGGUGAGUUUUCGGUAGUAAGGAAUUGACGCUUAAGUUCUCGGGUCCCGCGGCAGGCUUGUUUGGAGGUAGUCCUCCUUUCCUUGGGUUGAUCCGUUGAGCGUGGAUUCGAUCGAGGGGCAUAACCGAGUAUCAGGUAAGGGU